GACGAACGCUGGCGGCGUGCCUAAUACAUGCAAGUAGAACGCUGAGGACUGGUGCUUGCACUGGUCUAAGGAGUUGCGAACGGGUGAGUAACGCGUAGGUAACCUACCUCAUAGCGGGGGAUAACUAUUGGGAACGAUAGCUAAUACCGCAUAAUAACUGCCUUUAGUGUGGUGGUUGGAAAGUUUUUUCGGUGCAAGAUGAGCUCGCGGCCUAUCAGCUUGUUGGUGGGGUAAUGGCCUACCAAGGCGUCGACGGGUAGCCGGCCUGAGAGGGUGUACGGCCACAUUGGGACUGAGAUACGGCCCAG
rnacentral:rRNA from 1 species